rnacentral:rRNA from 1 species
CACCGGCGGCUCGAGUGGUAACCGUUAUUAUUGGGUCUAAAGGGUCUGUAGCCGGCCGGAUAAGUCUCUUGAGAAAUCCAGCAGCUCAACUGUUGGGCUUUCAGGAGAUACUGCUAGGCUUGGGACCGGGAGAGGUGAGAGGUACCUUGGGGGUAGGGGUGAAAUCUUGUAAUCCUUGAAGGACCACCAGUGGCGAAGGCGUCUCACCAGAACGGACCUGACGGCAAGGGACGAAAGCUAGGGGCACGAACCGG